GUAGGACUGAGAACACGUGAGCAGAACAGCUCUGGAGACACCAAGGUCAAUGCAGCAGGAGAGGGAGGAGAUGGUCCAAACUCCAGAGCCAAGAUUCCUCUGCAGGCCGUGACCUCCUUUGUAGCUUGUUGAGACUGACUGAAUCUUCUGUUCAUCUUGAAUGAAAGCUGGUACAGAAAAUUGGACACAUUCACCAGGCUGCAGAGAAGGCUCCUCAGUGUGUUAAGAAGCAGCUGUAUUACACAAAAGACACAUCCAAAAGCAUCCAAAUACAGGAACAGGCCCAGGCUGUGGAUCCCUAACACAGGAAUAAGACCACUCUAAGGGAGAGGAGAACUUCAGACAUGCCACUGUCUUUGUAAGUGUCUAGGUAUUAGGAGGAUUGCUGAGACUUGCCUAAUUUUUGACUCAUUGAAUAAAGAGCCAAAAUGACUAAGUACGAAGCUUAAGGAUUUAAUUCCCAGUCAGAUGCUUAAAACUGAGGUAUGACAGCACAGAAAUUCCUUGUGAAUUGAGACCUGAGACUUUUCUUGCAUCAUUCACAAAAUUCCUAAGAACUGCUUAUACUUAUAAAUUUCUAUAGGAAAUAAGAAUAUUAAUGUGUAAUGUUACAACUUAAGAACAUAAUUUUUUGUCAAAGAAAAUACACAUGAAAAUAUAUUUGGCACAUUUAUAAAUUUUGCAUCCUAUAAUGCUUUAUAUAUCUGGGAUAAUUUUGUAAGACAACUUGCCAUUAUAUUGCUGAGGGAAAAAAAACUUUCAAAACAUGAAACGUGCCACAUAUAAUAAGAUUUAGCAGUGAUUAGGAUAGGCCUGAUGGCUGAUGCCUAAAAGGAAUAUGAAUCUCCUUCCCUCCAAAAGGAUGGGUUUGGAGCUCAGUAUGAGCUCCACUGACAUUUCGUGGAGAAAAUGGGAGGUAAAUGAAGAGAUUCCAGUGAGCAAUUAUGGAACAUGGUUAUUUUAUAGACAUUAGGGAUCUUUUGGGAUUUAGGGUUAUUUUUUGGUACACAUUUCUGUUUAAAGAGGGUGGUGUGCUGAAUGGGUGGUGAAAGAUUGAUAGUUAAAAAUGUACUAUCACAAAUGAAGGACUGAGUAUGCUAGUUGUGUUUAAAUGUUCCAGGCCACUCUGUCUUAGCAGCUUGCAACCCCAGCAUCCUAAAACUAUAUCCUUAAGAAAGGAAAAAGUAAAUGGCCCCCUCCCCACCUGCCCAGGGAGGCAGGAAACCCAUUCUGGCUCUGCCCAGGGCCCCCUGUUCCAGAUGUUACUGGUCAUGCCAGUGCCCAGCUGUGUUCCCUCACCUCAUGACUGGAUUUUCUGGAUCUCACCGGACUUUCUAUAAAAUUACAUCUGUGUAUAAGAGGUGGUAGUACUCACUGCCUUUUGGAGAUUUCAGCAGAGAACGAAGAAUUAUUUAUUUAUUAAGCAAACACAGAAAAAUUUGAAACUUCUGGUUGCGACAAAACAGUUAUGUGGCUUGUGCACUUUUUUUAACAACAUAUAAACUUUUGUUGAUAUGUCUUCUGAUUACUGAAAUGUAGUUUCCUGCUCUGUUAUGUGAUAUCUUUAUCACAGGUCAUUAGUUAAAUCAAAAAGAACUUAAUCAGGAAGGAAGCAACACCAAGUUGUUCUAGCAGGAGAAUGUCCAUGAAUCUCAUUUUUUGUCUCCUGGGAAUGACUGCAGUCAUCUUAAGUAAUGAAAUUUUUAAGUUAAAGUAGUGCCAGUGCAAGUCAAAAAAGUAGGACAUGAAAUUUUUGAAGCUAUUCAGCUGUUGUUAUGGGGAGCUUGACAAUGUGAUUUACAGGAAAUUUCAACAUAAAUUCAAAUUAGAUUAGCUCUGUAGAAGAUAUCUGUAUUAUAGUGUGAAAAUGUACAGUGUAAUUCUUUGUGUAUGUCAGUGUUGUAUGACUGAAGCACGGAGCUUGGCACACUGUUCAUAAGGGUGUGGGGCUGUGUUUGAAGAGAGUUAUGGGAUCCCUAACAAAAACUCAGUUCCUCCACAUACUGCUUUAGGAGACCUGGGUUUAAAAGGAUGUGCUUCCAUGGAAGAUAUAUGGAUUAUUUUGAGAUUUGCAUUGAAGAGGCUCCUUAGGGACUGCUUAUAGAUGGGAAACCUCUGUGCUAUUACCUGGCAGGGAAGAGCUUGUAUAACAUUUGGGGGUGCUUUUGUUAAGGUGGACAUUGACACCACUGCUUCUUGGUUUGUUUUGUAGUUUGUAUUCUUUUGUUCCUGAAGAGAACCUGUUUAUCUGGUGGUUUUUGCCAUAUUUCUAAAAUCACUUUAUCAAGCUCCAUCCUGUUCUGUUAAUUUGGUAUUUUCCUGUUACUGCAGGAUGCCUAGCAAAGCCAAAUGUAUGGGUUGGUUUGUUGUGCUUUCUAUCAGAGCCAUCUGGGGACUUGCUGAAAAGGGAGCUGUUGUGUUAGAGGAGUUAUUGCCUGUAUUCGUGUUCUUGUGUGUGUAUGUAUGCCUCUCCAAGUGUCAGAGCAUUGUUUCAUUUCCACUGGAGAUAUUACCUGCUUUGAUUGCUAAGAAAACACCUAUUUAUCUUGUAUAGCAGCAAUUUUGUCUCAAAGAUGCAUGCAACACUUCUUCAAAAAGAAUGUCCUUCAAUUAAAAAAAAAAGUGGAAAUACUUAGAUUUUUUUUUCAAGAUGUUCACAAUGCAGUUUCUAUUAAUUCUGAGUUGUCCAAACUACUCAACAUACAGCUGUUGCAAAUUAACUUCCUUGUUAAGACGAAAUGAUAUGUGAAGCAUUGAAGUAAAUUGUAAAUGGAUCAGAUUAGGAUCUUUUGCUGUCAAGAAAAAUAAAAUAUCAGAAAUUACAUGAGAGCCUGCUUUUCUGUUGCUGUUUUGAGAAGGAUACAAAGAAUCAUAGUCGUAUCUGAGUUCUUAAUGUACUUUGCAUAUUCAACUUGUUUUCUCUGCUUUUCACUACUAUUGAUAAACAUGAUUAGGAUUUUAGGGGUUUUGUGAACAACCAAAAGUUGCUUUG